rnacentral:rRNA from 1 species
AUGACUGGUGAUGCACGUCUGCGGUUGCUCAACUCCGUACUCUCAGCAAUCUCGGUCUACCUGAUUACAAUUUUCAAGCUGGGUGCAUGGGCCAUCAAAAAAAUUGACAAGUUAGGAAGAAACUUCCUUUGGAGAUCAAAGCCCGACACGGAUGGAGGAAUUGCAUUGGUUAACUGGUCCACCGCCUGCCGCCCCAAAAGCCUCGGUGGACUCGGCAUCAUUGACCUGAAGCGCUUUGGUAGGGCCCUGCGCCUAUGAUGGAAAUGGCUGGAAUGGCGUGCGCAAGACAGGCCUUGGAUCGGAUCUCCCAUCCCUUGUGACAGAGACGACCUGGCCCUUUUCUCUGCUACCACUAAAAUCUCCAUUGGUGCCAGAACACAGGCCAAGUUCUGGCAUGAUCGCUGGCUCGCUGGCGACGCACCUGCUGAGAUUGCAUCGGACUUGCUCCGACUAUGUUACAGGAAAAACCUCACUGUUGAGAAGGCACUAAAUGGACAACACUGGUUGUCAGGUCUGCACCGCAUUUCUUCUGAAUCUGAGAUGCGACAGUUCACCAAUCCCUGGGUAAGGCUGCGCAACAUUGUUCUUGAUCCGGCAUGGCCUGAUGAGAUCACCUGGAGCCACAACACUGCUGCAACCUACACCACGAGGUUGGCUUACCGCUGCCAAUUCCUUGGCUCCAUUGCGAAUGCCAACUAUGAUAAACUCUGGAAGUCCAAGGUCGAGGCAAAGUGUAGGUUUUUCUUCUAG